rnacentral:rRNA from 1 species
UGCAAGUCGAACGGUAACAGGUCUAGCUUGCUAGAUGCUGACGAGUGGCGGACGGGUGAGUAACGCGUAGGAAUCUACCCUAAAGUGGGGGACAACCCGGGGGAAACUCGGGCUAAUACCGCAUAAUCCCUUCGGGGUAAAGUCGGGGACCUUCGGGCCUGGCGCUUUAGGAUGAGCCUGCGUUAGAUUAGCUUGUUGGUGGGGUAAAGGCCUACCAAGGCGACGAUCUAUAGCUGGUCUGAGAGGAUGAUCAGCCGCACUGGGACUGAGACACGGCCCAGACUCC